GACGAAGGAUGCAAGCGUUAUCCGGGUUCAUUGGGUUUAAAGGGAGCGUAGGUGGCCUUAUAAGUCAGUGGUGAAAUCUCUGGGCUUAACCCAGAAAUUGCCAUUGAUACUGUAGGGCUUGAGUACAGUUGCUGUGGGCGGAAUAUGACAUGUAGUGGUGAAAUACAUAGAGAUGUCAUAGAACACCGAUUGCGAAGGCAGCUCACAAAACUGUAACUGACACUGAGGCUCGAAAGUGCGGGGAUCAAACAGG
rnacentral:rRNA from 1 species